rnacentral:rRNA from 1 species
AACGUAGGUUCCGAGCGUUAUCCGGAUUUACUGGGCGUAAAGCGUGCGCAGGCGGUUAUGUAAGACAGGUGUGAAAUCCCCGGGCUUAACCUGGGAACUGCAUUUGUGACUGCAUAGCUAGAGUACGGUAGAGGGGGAUGGAAUUCCGCGUGUAGCAGUGAAAUGCGUAGAUAUGCGGAGGAACACCGAUGGCGAAGGCAAUCCCCUGGACCUGUACUGACGCUCAUGCACGAAAGCGUGGGGAGCAAACAGG